rnacentral:rRNA from 1 species
UACGGAGGAUCCAAGCGUUGUCCGGAUUUAUUGGGUUUAAAGGGUGCGUAGGCGGAUUACUAAGUCAGAGGUGAAAGUUUGCAGCUUAACUGUAAAAUUGCCUUUGAAACUGGUAGUCUUGAGUAUAGUUGAGGUGGGCGGAAUGUGUCAUGUAGCGGUGAAAUGCUUAGAUAUGAUACAGAACACCGAUUGCGAAGGCAGCUCACUAAACUGUAACUGACGCUGAGGCACGAAAGCGUGGGGAGCAAACAGGAUUAGAUACCCUGGUAGUCCACGCCCUAAACGUUGAAUACUCGUUGUUGGCGAUAUACAGUCAGCGACUAAGCGAAAGCAUUAAGUAUUCCACCUGGGGAGUACGACCGCAAGGUUGAA